CAGCAGCUGCGCAUCCCUCUCUCUCUAUUUAUGGCAAACCCUUGGGCUUGGCCAUCCUUAUCUCUCCCUUGAAGCCAUUGAAGCCUUCUCAGCCCACACAGAGAGAAACCUCCUCAUCCUACACAAUACAUGCGUGAAUUAUAAGCUCUCAAUCGCUCUCGUCAUUAGUGUCGCAGCCAGGGACCUCUCUCGAUCGGUUUCAGGUUUCACCUUCCCUAAACAAAGGAAAUUGCCUCCUCCUUUCCAUCAGUGUUCGCAAUAUUAUCCCUAAUUCAGGUCUUCUAUUCUACCACUUUUCUCAUAUGCUCUGUAAUCGUUCUUUAUCAAAGGACAAAUAUAUCUGAAAACUAAAAUUUAGUUCUAAUGUUUUUACGUUCUUGUGUGGGGAAAAUAAUUGAAAAUAUUUUGGCCUGUACUACACAUCUGAAUUCUGUGAACAUGGGACAUGUUCUUUGUUAGUUCUAAAAUAUAUCCAUGGGUGACAUGACGUGCCUAUUACCAUUUUUUUGGGAUGGUUUGCUUUCUCUCUCAUGCAUUAGUUUAUUUAUUUGAUAUUCAGAAAUGUGAUGAAAGCUUGACAAUGCUUAUUUUUCCAUUUGAUUAUUAGUUCUCAUUUCUCCAAUCAUUAUUUCAUGAGCUUUUGGUACUGCUGUUCUCGUUCUUGCAUUAAGAUUUAGAUUUAAGAAAAUGGUAACUAUUUUUGGUGUAACAUGUUUGCUAUCAUGAUUCAAAAAUAUGAGAAGAAAAAGAAGUGAUAAGUGGGCUUGUGCUUUACAUUUUGCAUCUUGAUUCAUUUGUAGGCGGAAGGAUGGGUCAGGAAUAUGAGUGUAUCGGAUGCCGAUGACUCAUCGUUUCCUGAUGUUGAAAGUCGUAGAACCAGUGAAGUAAUUUAUGCUACAAGAUUAAAUUACUUACUAAAUUCUUUCCUUCCCAAUUUCUUUUUUGCUAUUGUCAACAUCCUUACUAUUCCAUUCAUGAAGUAGACGUCUUGAUUUCUCAUACCACUCCAUUGAUGUUGGUUUUUUUUACUUUGGAAAUAUUUCUCCCAUCUUCACGCCCUACUUUUCCUAUCUGUCAUUUCUUUUGGGUUUUGUUUUAUUGUAACAGUUCUAGACUAACUGAAUAUUUCACCAAAGAUGAUUGGGAUGAGGAAGCUUUAGAAAGCAGAAGCAAUGCGAUUUGUAAGAAAAGCACAGGGGUUUGAACUGAGUUUUUGCAGGGAAGGAACUUAAGUGGGAAAAAGAGGAAGAGAAGAUGAGUAGAAAGCCCUGGCUGCUGGUUAGAAUGUGAAGCUGGCUGACUUUAGUUGUAAAGUGAGAGAGAGGGAGAGAUCAUGUAUGUCUAAUAGCUUAGCAAAUUUGUACUCCUUUUCAAAUUUUUACAGUUACACAUCAUGAUUAUCAAAUUUUUAAUGUUUGCUUGAAUGAGUAGUGGAGCAGACCAAGGUGUGUUGUACUUUACUCCUAAAGGGUACAAAGAAUUGUGCAUCUCUUUUUAUUACAAUGUACAACAACUACUAUUUUGUGCUUCCGGUGCUAUGUGCUAUUUAUGGCACUUAUUUCUUUUUCUUUUCUUUUUUAAAUUGUGGUAUGUACCGUAAAUACGUAAAGAAGGGUGUUGU